rnacentral:rRNA from 1 species
GAGUUUGAUCAUGGCUCAGGAUGAACGCUGGUGGUAUGCAUGACACAUGCAAGUUAAACGGAGAGUUAAAAAUGCUUAAUGCGUUUACUCUUAGUAGCGAACGGGUGAGUAAUGCGUGAGAAUCUACCCAUUUGGAGGGGGGUAACGAUUGGAAACGAUCGCAGUAAUUCCUCAUAGUCUAUUACAAUUACAUUGUAAACUUUUUUGAUCUGAUCUUUUUCAGUAUUGAAAAUUGAGAACAAAGGAGAGAAUCCGCCAAUGGAGGAGCUCGCGUCUGAUUAGCUAGUUUGGGGGGUAAAGGCUUCCCAAGGCCAUGAUCAGUAGCUGGUUUGAGGGAACGGUCAGCCACACUGGGACUGAGAUACGGCACAGACUCCUUCGGGAGGCAGCAGUGAGGAAUUUUCCACAAUAAGCGAAAGCUUGACGGAGCAAUACCACGUGAGAGAGAUAAGAAGGGCUUCGGCUUGUAAACCUCUUUUCUCGAGGAAGAAAAACAUGACUGUACUUGAGGAAAUAAGCAUCGGCUAACUCCGUGCCAGCAGCCGCGGUAAUACGGGGGAUGCAAGCGUUAUCCGGAAUUAUUGGGCGUAAAGCGCUUGUAGGUGUCUUAGUAAGUAUGUAGUUAAAGUUCAAAGCUUAACUUUGAAAAGGCUACAGAAACUGCUUGGCUAGAGUAUGGCAUAGGUAAAGGGAAUUUCUAGUGUAGCGGUGAAAUGCGUAGAUAUUAGAAAGAACACCAGAGGCGAAGGCGCUUUACUAGACCAUGACUGACACUCAGAAGCGAAAGCUAAGGUAGCAAAAGGGAUUAGGUACCUCUGUAGUCUUAGCCGUAAACGUUGGAUACUCCAUGUUGUCUGUAAUCAAAGAAAAAUAGACAGUAUGUUAGCUAACGCGUUAAGUAUCCCGCCUGAGUAGUACGCUCGCAAGGGUGAAACUCAAAAGAAUUGACGGGGCCCCGCACCAGCGGUGGAGCAUGUGGUUUAAUUCGAUGCAACGCGAAAAACCUUACUAGAAUUUGAUUUACUACGUAAUUUAAUGUAAUAUCUUCUUAGAAAUUAGAAGAUUCUGUUCUACUAAAUUUAAAUCUAGUAUGAUACAAGGCGUAGUAACAGGUAGUGCAUGGCUGUCGUCAGCUCGUGUCGUGAAGUGUUGGGUUAAGUCCCGUAACGAGCGCAACUCUUAUUCUUAGUUAAUAUGUCUAAGAAUAUUGUUACUGAUAAAGUAAAGGAAGGUGAGGAUGACGUCAAGUCAGCAUGCUCCUUAUAUUUUGGGCUACACACGUGCUACAAUGAGUAAGUCAAAGGCUAGCAAAAUUGUAAGAUAGUUUUAUGUCACAGUUGAAUUCAGAUAACUUUUCGGAGCUGUUCUUCUUUUUAUAUAUUUCAUAUCUGUUCUUUUACUGUUGAUAUUUAAUUAAGCUAAUCUCAAAAACUUAUUCUCAGUUCGGAUUGCAGGCUGAAACUCGCCUGCAUGAAGUUGGAAUCGAUAGUAAUCGCUGUUCAGCAUUACAGCGGUGAAUUUGUUCUCGGCCCUUGUACACACCGACCGUCACACCAUGGAAGCUAGUUCUGCCCAAAAACGUUGAUUUAACUAUACUUUUCUAUACUUUUAUAGAUAGGUAAAGAGGAUCCCGGCUAAGGCAGGACCAGUGACUGGGGUGAAGUCGUAACAAGGUAACC